rnacentral:sRNA from 1 species
AGCGGGACCCUGCGGCUCGGGAUGGAGGCUGGACACCUGUUCUGCUGUUGUGUCUUGCCAUUCUCCUGAAGAACAGAGGCACACUGUAAAACCCAACACUUCCCCUUGCAUUCUAUGAGAUUACAGCAAGAUGGAAAUACCAAAUCCCCCUACCUCCAAAUGUAUCACUUACUGGAAAAGAAAAGUGAAAUCUGAAUACAUGCGACUUCGACAACUUAAACGGCUUCAGGCAAAUAUGGGUGCAAAGGCUUUGUAUGUGGCAAAUUUUGCAAAGGUUCAAGAAAAAACUCAGAUCCUCAAUGAAGAAUGGAAGAAGCUUCGUGUCCAACCUGUUCAGUCAAUGAAGCCUGUGAGUGGACACCCUUUUCUCAAAAAGUGUACCAUAGAGAGCAUUUUCCCGGGAUUUGCAAGCCAACAUAUGUUAAUGAGGUCACUGAACACAGUUGCAUUGGUUCCCAUCAUGUAUUCCUGGUCCCCUCUCCAACAGAACUUUAUGAGAUGAUCCCUGGAUCCGUUCUGAUUAGUGAUGCUGUUUUUCUGGAGUUGGUCGAUGCCCUGAAUCAGUACUCAGAUGAGGAGGAGGAAGGGCACAAUGACACCUCAGAUGGAAAGCAGGAUGACAGCAAAGAAGAUCUGCCAGUAACAAGAAAGAGAAAGCGACAUGCUAUUGAAGGCAACAAAAAGAGUUCCAAGAAACAGUUCCCAAAUGACAUGAUCUUCAGUGCAAUUGCCUCAAUGUUCCCUGAGAAUGGUGUCCCAGAUGACAUGAAGGAGAGGUAUCGAGAGCUAACAGAGAUGUCAGACCCCAAUGCACUUCCCCCUCAGUGCACACCCAACAUCGAUGGCCCCAAUGCCAAGUCUGUGCAGCGGGAGCAAUCUCUGCACUCCUUCCACACACUUUUUUGCCGGCGCUGCUUUAAAUACGACUGCUUCCUUCACCCUUUUCAUGCCACCCCUAAUGUAUAUAAACGCAAGAAUAAAGAAAUCAAGAUUGAACCAGAACCAUGUGGCACAGACUGCUUCCUUUUGCUGGAAGGAGCAAAGGAGUAUGCCAUGCUCCACAACCCCCGCUCCAAGUGCUCUGGUCGUCGCCGGAGAAGGCACCACAUAGUCAGUGCUUCCUGCUCCAAUGCCUCAGCCUCUGCUGUGGCUGAGACUAAAGAAGGAGACAGUGACAGGGACACAGGCAAUGACUGGGCCUCCAGUUCUUCAGAGGCUAACUCUCGCUGUCAGACUCCCACAAAACAGAAGGCUAGUCCAGCCCCACCUCAACUCUGCGUAGUGGAAGCACCCUCGGAGCCUGUGGAAUGGACUGGGGCUGAAGAAUCUCUUUUUCGAGUCUUCCAUGGCACCUACUUCAACAACUUCUGUUCAAUAGCCAGGCUUCUGGGGACCAAGACGUGCAAGCAGGUCUUUCAGUUUGCAGUCAAAGAAUCACUUAUCCUGAAGCUGCCAACAGAUGAGCUCAUGAACCCCUCACAGAAGAAGAAAAGAAAGCACAGAUUGUGGGCUGCACACUGCAGGAAGAUUCAGCUGAAGAAAGAUAACUCUUCCACACAAGUGUACAACUACCAACCCUGCGACCACCCAGACCGCCCCUGUGACAGCACCUGCCCCUGCAUCAUGACUCAGAAUUUCUGUGAGAAGUUCUGCCAGUGCAACCCAGACUGUCAGAAUCGUUUCCCUGGCUGUCGCUGUAAGACCCAGUGCAAUACCAAGCAAUGUCCUUGCUAUCUGGCAGUGCGAGAAUGUGACCCUGACCUGUGUCUCACCUGUGGGGCCUCAGAGCACUGGGACUGCAAGGUGGUUUCCUGUAAAAACUGCAGCAUCCAGCGUGGCCUUAAGAAGCACCUGCUGCUGGCCCCCUCUGAUGUCGCCGGAUGGGGCACCUUCAUAAAGGAGUCUGUGCAGAAGAACGAAUUCAUUUCUGAAUACUGUGGUGAGCUCAUCUCUCAGGAUGAGGCUGAUCGACGCGGAAAGGUCUAUGACAAAUACAUGUCCAGCUUCCUCUUCAACCUCAAUAAUGAUUUUGUAGUGGAUGCUACUCGGAAAGGAAACAAAAUUCGAUUUGCAAAUCAUUCAGUGAAUCCCAACUGUUAUGCCAAAGGUGAGUCCCAGUAACCUGGGAGGUGGGGUGGGGGAUGGAUGCCUCUUUACUGUGAUUUCCAUUCGUUGUUGAACCUUUUCCUUAGCUCAGCUAUUUUUUGUCCAAAGAUAAUCAUGAUUAAUAUCUGGUAUCAUUUUAGGCCCCUCUCAAUCUUAGUUUUGUAAUCUGCUUUUUUCAGCGAAUACAUUAUAAACACUUUCCCACAAACAUGAUUUAACCAGCCUGAGCAACAUAGUGAGACCCAUCUCACAAAAAAAUAAUAGGCUGGGUGUGGUGGCUUA